UACGUAGGGGGCAAGCGUUGUCCGGAAUCAUUGGGCGUAAAGCGCGUGUAGGCGGCCCGAUAAGUCCGCUGUGAAAGUCCAGGGCUCAACCCUGGGAUGCCGGUGGAUACUGUCGGGCUCGAGUCCGGAAGAGGAGUGUGGAAUUCCUGGUGUAGCGGUGAAAUGCGCAGAUAUCAGGAAGAACACCCGUGGCGAAGGCGGCUCUCUGGGACGGUACUGACGCUGAGACGCGAAAGCGUGGGGAGCGAACAGG
rnacentral:rRNA from 1 species